GAUGAACGCUGGCGGCGUGCCUAAUACAUGCAAGUCGAGCGAACAGAUGAGAAGCUUGCUUCUCUGAUGUUAGCGGCGGACGGGUGAGUAACACGUGGGUAACCUACCUAUAAGACUGGGAUAACUCCGGGAAACCGGGGCUAAUACCGGAUAAUAUUUUGAACCGCAUGGUUCAAUAGUGAAAGGCGGUUUCGGCUGUCACUUAUAGAUGGACCCGCGCCGUAUUAGCUAGUUGGUAAGGUAACGGCUUACCAAGGCGACGAUACGUAGCCGACCUGAGAGGGUGAUCGGCCACACUGGAACUGCGACACGGUCCAGACUCCUACGGGAGGCAGCAGUAGGGAAUCUUCCGCAAUGGGCGAAAGCCUGACGGAGCAACGCCGCGUGAGUGAUGAAGGUCUUCGGAUCGUAAAACUCUGUUGUUAGGGAAGAACAAAUUUGUUGGUAACUGAACAAGUCUUGACGGUACCUAACCAGAAAGCCACGGCUAACUACGUGCCAGCCGCCGCCGUAA
rnacentral:rRNA from 1 species